CAGUGUACCCGCGGCAAGACGGAAAGACCCCGUGAACCUUUACUAUAGCUUGACACUGAACAUUGAGCCUUGAUGUGUAGGAUAGGUGGGAGGCUUUGAAGUGUGGACGCCAGUCUGCAUGGAGCCGACCUUGAAAUACCACCCUUUAAUGUUUGAUGUUCUAACGUGGACCCGUGAUCCGGGUUGCGGACAGUGUCUGGUGGGUAGUUUGACUGGGGCGGUCUCCUCCUAAAGAGUAACGGAGGAGCACGAAGGUUGGCUAAUCCUGGUCGGACAUCAGGAGGUUAGUGCAAUGGCAUAAGCCAGCUUGACUGCGAGCGUGACGGCGCGAGCAGGUGCGAAAGCAGGUCAUAGUGAUCCGGUGGUUCUGAAUGGAAGGGCCAUCGCUCAACGGAUAAAAGGUACUCCGGGGAUAACAGGCUGAUACCGCCCAAGAGUUCAUAUCGACGGCGGUGUUUGGCACCUCGAUGUCGGCUCAUCACAUCCUGGGGCUGAAGUAGGUCCCAAGGGUAUGGCUGUUCGCCAUUUAAAGUGGUACGCGAGCUGGGUUUAGAACGUCGUGAGACAGUUCGGUCCCUAUCUGCCGUGGGCGCUGGAGAACUGAGGGGGGCUGCUCCUAGUACGAGAGGACCGGAGUGGACGCAUCACUGGUGUUCGGGUUGUCAUGCCAAUGGCACUGCCCGGUAGCUAAAUGCGGAAGAGAUAAGUGCUGAAAGCAUCUAAGCACGAAACUUGCCCCGA
rnacentral:rRNA from 1 species